GAUGAACGCUGGCGGCGUGCCUAAUACAUGCAAGUCGAGCGAACGGACGAGAAGCUUGCUUCUCUGAUGUUAGCGGCGGACGGGUGAGUAACACGUGGAUAACCUACCUAUAAGACUGGGAUAACUUCGGGAAACCGGAGCUAAUACCGGAUAAUAUUUUGAACCGCAUGGUUCAAAAGUGAAAGACGGUCUUGCUGUCACUUAUAGAUGGAUCCGCGCUGCAUUAGCUAGUUGGUAAGGUAACGGCUUCCCAAGCCAACGAUGCAUCGCCGACCUGGGAGGGUGAGCGGCCACACUGGAACUGAGACACGGUCCAGACUCCUACGGGAGGCAGCAGUAGGGAAUCUUCCGCAAUGGGCGAAAGCCUGACGGAGCAACGCCGCGUGAGUGAUGAAGGUCUUCGGAUCGUAAAACUCUGUUAUUAGGGAAGAACAUAUGUGUAAGUAACUGUGCACAUCUUGACGGUACCUAAUCAGAAAGCCACGGCUAACUACGUG
rnacentral:rRNA from 1 species